GUGGGGAAUAUUGGACAAUGGGCGAAAGCCUGAUCCAGCAACGCCGCGUGAGGGAUGACGGCCUUCGGGUUGUAAACCUCUUUCAGCAGGGACGAAGCGCAAGUGACGGUACCUGCAGAAGAAGCACCGGCCAACUACGUGCCAGCAGCCGCGGUAAUACGUAGGGUGCAAGCGUCGUCCGGAAUUAUUGGGCGUAAAGGGCUCGUAGGCGGUCCAUCACGUCGGGAGUGAAAAGCUGGGGCUCAACUCCAGUCCUGCUUCCGAUACGGGUGGACUAGAGGUAGGCAGGGGAGAAUGGAAUUCCUGGUGUAGCGGUGAAAUGCGCAGAUAUCAGGAGGAACACCGGUGGCGAAGGCGGUUCUCUGGGCCUUACCUGACGCUGAGGAGCGAAAGCGUGGGGAGCAAACAGGAUUAGAUACCCUGGUAGUCCACGCCGUAAACGUUGGGCGCUAGGUGUGGGGGACAUUCCACGUCCUCCGUGCCGCAGCUAACGCAUUAAGCGCCCCGCCUGGGGAGUACGGCCGCAAGGC
rnacentral:rRNA from 1 species